CACAAUCUUGUUCUUCUUCUUAUUUCCUUACACAUAUAUCCAUUCAUUCUCUCAAUCUUUCUAAUAACGUGACUUUGUUUAGAUCUUUAUCAUUAAAUUUUUUAAGGGUUGUUUUUGUUUAGAAUUUUUUAUUAAUGGGUUGCAAAAAUAUGAGUAAGUUAAAGUGGAGGAGGAGGGAAAAAAAGGAGAAGGGUGGUAGGGCAUUAGAGAAGAAGAUGAAGAAGUUGCAAAGGUUGAUUCCUGAUGGGGGAAGGUUGAAGCCAGACCAGCUUUUUCUUCGUACAGCAGAACAUAUCUUGCAAUUAAGGUUGCAGCUUAAUCUGUUGCAGACUCUUUCCAAGAUGUUUAAGCCAUAAAGCAUGGUAUCAAAUUAUGUUAUCAAGUUGUUGGUUCUCUUCUAUAUGGUCCUUCUUCUGUAAUAGUUUCAAUGUAUGAUACCUUCUCUUUCUAUAUAUAUAAUUAUAUAUGUACUUCUAAGUGUUUAAAAUAGGGGAUUGUUAAUCUAGAUGUUUCUGAGGCUUUAAUUCCUGUUCGGUUAAAGAAGAGAGGUUAAAUUGUGUUGUUGGCUAAUGGCUAUGAAUAUUUCUUUUAUAUUUUAUUGGAUGUGUGAAUCAGUACUUUAGAAGCAUUACUGUUUAAGGGGUU
rnacentral:lncRNA from 1 species